rnacentral:rRNA from 1 species
UCAAUCUCGUGCGACUAGGAGCCGCCUGUCCCUCUAAGAAGAUAAAUGUGUACGCCGGCAGUAAAAACCGCGAACACCCGACCGGACGGACGGGGAGACGCGAGCCUUCGAGAUGCCGGAAAGUAACGCCUAUUUAGCAGGCUAGAGUCUCGUUCGUUAU